AUGUACAUACCUACAACAUAGCAUUAAUGCACAAGAUCCCAUUAGAACUCUGCAGUUAAGCAUGCUCGGGCUAGAGUAGUACUAGGAUGGGUGACUGCUCGAGAAGUCCUAGUGUUUUACAUU
rnacentral:rRNA from 1 species